AAGCUUGCUUCUCUGAUGUUAGCGGCGGACGGGUGAGUAACACGUGGAUAACCUACCUAUAAGACUGGGAUAACUUCGGGAAACCGGAGCUAAUACCGGAUAAUAUUUUGAACCGCAUGGUUCAAAAGUGAAAGACGGUCUUGCUGUCACUUAUAGAUGGAUCCGCGCUGCAUUAGCUAGUUGGUAAGGUAACGGCUUACCAAGGCAACGAUGCAUAGCCGACCUGAGAGGGUGAUCGGCCACACUGGAACUGAGACACGGUCCAGACUCCUACGGGAGGCAGCAGUAGGGAAUCUUCCGCAAUGGGCGAAAGCCUGACGGAGCAACGCCGCGUGAGUGAUGAAGGUCUUCGGAUCGUAAAACUCUGUUAUUAGGGAAGAACAUAUGUGUAAGUAACUGUGCACAUCUUGACGGUACCUAAUCAGAAAGCCACGGCUAACUACGUGCCAGCAGCCGCGGUAAUACGUAGGUGGCAAGCGUUAUCCGGAAUUAUUGGGCGUAAAGCGCGCGUAGGCGGUUUUUUAAGUCUGAUGUGAAAGCCCACGGCUCAACCGUGGAGGGUCAUUGGAAACUGGAAAACUUGAGUGCAGAAGAGGAAAGUGGAAUUCCAUGUGUAGCGGUGAAAUGCGCAGAGAUAUGGAGGAACACCAGUGGCGAAGGCGACUUUCUGGUCUGUAACUGACGCUGAUGUGCGAAAGCGUGGGGAUCAAACAGGAUUAGAUACCCUGGUAGUCCACGCCGUAAACGAUGAGUGCUAAGUGUUAGGGGGUUUCCGCCCCUUAGUGCUGCAGCUAACGCAUUAAGCACUCCGCCUGGGGAGUACGACCGCAAGGUUGAAACUCAAAGGAAUUGACGGGGACCCGCACAAGCGGUGGAGCAUGUGGUUUAAUUCGAAGCAACGCGAAGAACCUUACCAAAUCUUGACAUCCUUUGACAACUCUAGAGAUAGAGCCUUCCCCUUCGGGGGACAAAGUGACAGGUGGUGCAUGGUUGUCGUCAGCUCGUGUCGUGAGAUGUUGGGUUAAGUCCCGCAACGAGCGCAACCCUUAAGCUUAGUUGCCAUCAUUAAGUUGGGCACUCUAAGUUGACUGCCGGUGACAAACCGGAGGAAGGUGGGGAUGACGUCAAAUCAUCAUGCCCCUUAUGAUUUGGGCUACACACGUGCUACAAUGGACAAUACAAAGGGCAGCGAAACCGCGAGGUCAAGCAAAUCCCAUAAAGUUGUUCUCAGUUCGGAUUGUAGUCUGCAACUCGACUACAUGAAGCUGGAAUCGCUAGUAAUCGUAGAUCAGCAUGCUACGGUGAAUACGUUCCCGGGUCUUGUACACACCGCCCGUCACACCACGAGAGUUUGUAACACCCGAAGCCGGUGGAGUAACCUUUUAGGAGCUAGCCGUCGAAGGUGGGACAAAUGAUUGGGGUGAAGUCGUAACAAGGUAGCCGUAUCGGAAGGUGCGGCUGGAUCACCUCCUUUCUAAGGA
rnacentral:rRNA from 1 species